rnacentral:lncRNA from 1 species
GAAAAAAGCAACAGGAGUCCAUCCCAUUCUCUUGAGACAACAGGUUCACUGAUCACAGAGAAAAUUUCUUUUCCCUCAGAGUUUAGGCACCUUCAGGUCUGUGCUGUCACCAAUAUCCUUACUGCUACUGCCAUGGAGCAGGGAUUCAAGAUAACCAAAGGAAGACAAAGGGACAAAAUGGCAGCAGCCAGCCUGACCAUUCCCUUCCCAUCAUGAGGGAGAGGGCUGUGGUAUGGACAGCAGCAGCUGACUGGCCACAGGUGCAGCCACUGCCAUCCAGCCCCGACUCAUUCCUAGAAUAAGAACCACCAGACUGCCCUCUGACACCUGCCUCAGCGGUCCCCACCACUCCUCAAACCCUGUCACCGUCCACAGACAAGCCCUGGAGGGGUGGGGAAAAGGUGGGGCUCUGGGGCUUCUUUUUCAGAGAUGGGAGGUGCACAGGCUGGGGAGGAACCCCCAGAGUAUGCAAUCUUUUAGGACUGGCUUCUUUCACUUAGCAGUAUGCAUUUAAGAUUUUUUAUUGUUGUUGUUUGGGGUUUUGUUGUUGCUGUUGUUGUUCUUGUUGUUUCUUUUGGUUGUUGUUGUUGUUGUUUUGAGACAGGGUCUCACUCUAUCGCCCAGGCUGAAGUGCAGUGGUGCAAUUAGGCUCACUGCAACUUCUACCUCCCAAGUUUAAGCCAUUCUCGUGCCUCAACCUCCACAGGAGCUGGGAUUAUAGGUGCGCACCACCAUGCCUGGCUACAUUUAAGGUUUAUACAUAUAUAUAUUUUGUGUGUGUGUGUGUGUGUGUGUGGCUUGAUAGCUUACUUUUUAACUUCUGAAUAGUAUUUCAUUGUAUGGAUAUGCCAUAGUUUGUUUAUUCAUUCACCUGUUGAAGUUUUUGGUGAUUAUGAAUAAGGCUGCUAUAAACAUAAGCAUGCAGGGUUUUGUACAGACAAAAGUUUUUAACUCAAUUGUUUAAUUACCUAGGAGCGUAAUUGUGGGACUGGAUUGUAACAUUGUCUUUAGCAUUGUCAGAAACUGCUAAACUGUCUUCUGAGGUUUCAAUGUUAUUUUACAUUUCUAAUAGCAAUGAAUGAGAGUUCCUUUUGCUCUCCAUCUUUGCCAGUAGCUGGUAGUGCCAGUUUUUUGUUUUUAUUUUAGCCAUUCUAAUGGGUGUGUAGUGGUAUUUCAUUAUUGUUUAAUUUGCAAUUUUCUAAUGACGUAUAAUGUUGAGCAUCUUUUCACACGUUUGUCUGCCUCUAAAUGUCUUCUUUGGUAAGGUUUCUGUUCAGAUUUUUUGCCUAUUUCUUAAUUAGGUUGCUUAUUUUCUUUGUUGAGUUUCAAGAGUUGUUUAUAUGUUUUACAAACAAAUUAUUUAUCAGAUAAGGGUUUUGUAUAUAUUUCCUUCUACUUCAUGCCUUGUCUUUUGAUGGUCUUAACAUUGCCUCUCACAGAGCAAAACACUUAAAUUUUAAUAAAGACAACUAUUUUUUUCCCAUGGAUGGUGGUUUUGUGUUACAUUUAAAAACUCACCAAACCCAAGGUCUCCUCGAUUUUCUCCUAUGUUUUCUUCUAGAAG